GGGUGAGUGUCUGAGUGGUUGAAGGUUCCAGUUUUGAAAACUGGUAAGAAUUUAUAUUCUUCAAGGGUUCGAAUCCCUUCUUACCUA
rnacentral:tRNA from 1 species